UACGUAGGAUCCGAGCGUUGUCCGGAAUUACUGGGUGUAAAGGGCGUGUAGGUGGGUCUCUAAGUCGAUGGAGAAAUCCUGCAGCUCAACUGUAGAAUUGCCGUCGAUACUGGAGGUCUUGAGUGCGGCAGAGGGAGACGGAAUUCAUGGUGUAGCGGUGAAAUGUGUAGAUAUCAUGAAGAACACCGGUUGCGAAGGCGGUCUCCUGGCCCGUUACUGACAAUGAGGCGCGAAAGCGUGGGGAGCAAGCAGG
rnacentral:rRNA from 1 species